CCUGGUUUUGUUUACAGGAUUUAUUGGUUCAUGAAGAGCAAGAGGUAAGUACAAGCCUAACUACCCUCUAGCUCACAGACCUGCCCGGUGAAUAGAGCUUUGUUUUUUUGAUGGGCUUGUGAUGACUUUGAAAUCAAUUGCUCAUUCAUUACAGUAAAAAAAAAAAAUUGUUUUGAACAUGACAGCAAAAAUAACUUUAAGCACAACUUAAUAAUAAUAGAUCACCAAUUUUAGUUAAUAAUUUUAUGCUAUACUCUUGGGUGAGGGAAGACUCGGACACUCAAUAUGAGAUCAGCAAGCUAUGUUUAUUGCAGAGAGUAUCAGACACUUAUACAGCACAUAAUAAGCUUAUGAAUAUUCUGUAAGCCAAGCGAUCUAUUGGUUAAACUAUACCAUCAACUCUUCCUCAUUCCUUUGGGCCUACAUUCCCUAUUUCCCACGUCUCUCUGUCUACUUGUUAUCCUACCCAGCUAGGCCCAGGCACACGCUAUCUUGCAGGUGCAAAACUCAAAAAUACCUGUGUUCGGUACUUUCCCAGCUCCUGGUCGGCUAACGAGCGAAUGUCUGCGUGACCUCUGUCAUGGAGCCAUUUCUCCACACUAUACUAUCAAAGUUUAAAGGUAAAUUAUUAUAUAUUAGGAGAUGGUGUAAAGUGUAUGUUGUAAUGUGUAGGAUAUAUACAAAGAUACGUACUUGAAAGUCCGUAGAGGAAACAAAUUUUUACGCCUUCUGUUUGACUGUUUGUCAUAUAUUUGGUUUUAUUUCCCAGGGAUCAGUGAAUUUUAACUCUGGAGUCCUCUAUGCUAAGGAUGCUCAGCUUACAGAUGAUGAAAUGUUCAGUAAUGGUGAGUUUUUCACCUUCUCCUCCAUUGUUUUGCUCAUCUGAAUGAAAAAAAAAAAAGGCAAGAUUAAAGAAAAAGCAAUAGUUUUAUUAUUUUUACCCUGUUAUGUCUGUUUCCUCAGUAUUUGCUGGAGCUGUGCUUACCCAAGGUUUGGGUAAAACAAGCUUUGGGUUCCUUCUGUCUCACUGGGAGUUGCCCAAUUCAGUUGCAUCUGGUGAAAUUCACCCUGAGACCUUACAGAACCAGCUCCAACUACGUGCGAGCCAUUUGCAGUUCUCUCCAGACGCCUGGAGAAUGGGUGACGUUUCUGAGGAUCCGGCGAGCGUGCUUCUGUCAAAACUCAGUCUGUGAAAUUUCUGGGGAAAACCCUUCUGUGUCCUGAAGGGUUCAAACUCUGGAUUUUUUGUCUUUGCAAAAUAUUGUGCAUUUCACUCUUUGGAACCUCUCAGAUGGUUCUUUGGUGCAGCACCACCCCAUGGGACACUUGGCUGCUGUCCUGAAGGGGUUGGUCGCUAGAAUUGUAAAUCCUGGAGAGUUUGUAAGUCUACUGUCCCCAGGGAGGUAUCAUGCUUUGUUUACUUCUGUUCUGUUGGUUAGGCGCUGCUUCUCGUUGCAAGUACGAAUUUCAAACUGCCCUGUUCUUAUUUUAACUUUUUUCCUGGUUCUCUCUGUCCGGCAGGGAAAGACUCUCGUAUCCUUGUCGUCGGGCUCGGUGCUGUCCAAGAAGAUACAGAGACUAAAAAAAUCAUAAGAAGCAAAAUAUGACUGCAGGGAAAAGAAGCUGGAGAGAACAGAAGGGGCUGUUUCCAAAGUGACCUACAGACAUUGGAAUGAAAUCAUUAUUUACUGUGUAAAAGAAUCACUCUCCAAAGCAUCAGCCAAGGUCUAAAUAUGCCAUUCUGCCUUUUAAAAGUACCAACAUCACAGGAUUUUUCUCAGAUUAAAGCUUCCAUGGAGUCGGAUCUCUCAAGCCUGGCCCUUGAGAAUUGUGGGCCUCCUGUGAACUGGUCUUGCCAGAAGGGCUUGCUGAGUUUUCCAUUGUGUGGAAAAGAGAUCCCAUUUGCAGCCUGAAGCCUCAUGUUUCCUGUAGGAUUUCUACUCCUAGAAUUGCACACUUUGAAGGAUUUCUUAUAGCAGAAGUUUUUUGGGAACUAGGACUCUGGUUGGAUUUGGGUCUCUGGACUCUCAGGUGAAGUGACCUUGAGACACUAGGGCAUGCAGAUUUCCUUGCUGUUGAAAAGAGCUAUUGUUCGCACCCAGGAGCCAUGGUCUGAAUGGGGGUGUCACCUCUUAAAUUUGCAAAUGUCACAGGAUUUCUUCUAAAUGAAUGGUGCUAAGAACAUAAGGUCUGGCUGGCUUUCGACUUAGAGGCGCCUCCUCUAAAUUGGUCUUCAGACGCUAGGUUGGAAAGUGUUCCUACAUAUGCCAAAUAGCCCUUGCUAUGCAAUUAAUAAGCUUCAAAUUACCAUGGAGUUGCUGCCCCUGCAAAGAUUUUGGCAGAGCCUGGUUGUGGUGCCCCACUCCACUCCACCACCCUUAGCAGGUCCUUAUGGUUGCAUGGGGAAUCAUCGUGGAGCAUGCCAACCCAGCUCCAUCCUGGGAACAGCACCUGUAUUUUACCCUAAAAUUUCUGUCCCAUUAUAGCUCCUGUUAGGAUACAAAUGUAACUUCUCGGUUUCCACUGAUUUUACCCCCAGUCAUCUUUCCAUACAGACAUUGCUCCACUCCCCAGAGGAUUAUUGUGAGCAGAUGUGAGCUCUGCUGUCCCUUUGGACUGACAAAGACAGAGGUUUUGUCCCAAGUUGCUUUUGAACCUGUCCUGCACCUGUUACGAGUCCUCAGUCUCCUGCAAUUUUGUGGGUCAGUCACAUGUAAAACAGCACAGCUGGCUGGCAUGCUUUGCUCAUGAGGGGAGACAAGAGAAGAAUCCCUCUGCUCACACCAGACCUGCAGCUGCCAAACCUCACCAAAGCACCUGAGGAGCCCCCAGGGACUGAUGGUACAGAAGGGAGGUGAUGGAGGACAGCACAGCAGGCAGCCUGCCCUCCAUCUGGGUGUGAAGAAGGCAGGGCUGGGAACUGUAAGCAACAUCCCAGCAGGUCUGGCUGAUGGUGCCACCCUGAGGGCUUCCCCUGCCUUUGGGCAGUCCCAGCUGCUGCAGCUCACUUGACAGACUCAUUGUCUAUACUGUGCUUGGCUGCACUGGAGAUGAUGAAGCCGAGGACAGCAAUGGUUGCCUUCACAUCCCCUGACUGCAGAUGGGAAGGAGGGCGAGCUCUGUCACCUUGGGAAGGCGUCUGCAGAGUCACUGCUGCCCGUCUCUGGAGCGUGGCUCCAUUGGGGGACCGUGGUAAGGACAGCAGUGCUCACUUAACUGUGCACCUGAGGACAGCUUCAGGACC